ACAUCACAUGCAUUUCUUUGCCAACUUUUAUAUAUAUACAGUCCGUAUAGCUGAAUAACGUAAAAGUUGUGGCUUGCUGGCACGGUGGCAACGCCGUACAUUCCAUGUCAACGCACACAAGCACACAUACACAAAAAUUUAUAUCGUAGGUGGCCACAGCUGGUCCAGCGGCAAGUGAGUUUUGUGAUUACCAAUUUAAAUAAACUGAAAUAAACCGCACAAUAAUGGCACUUGGUGAUACGCUCGACUAUAUAACACUGGGAAACCCGUUGAGUCGCGCCGUCAUAUCGUCUACAAGCGCAAUAUUUCGCAGCUUCGGUCUGCGUCCCAAGACGCUGCCCCCACCCGAAGCACCGCCAAUUAAGGAGGCCUAUCAACAAAUUGUGGUGGCUCAGAGCUCUUUGUACACCUAUGCCGGUCGCAACUACCAUUUUGUGCGGCUCGCCGGCUUGAGCGGCGCGUCGGCCAUUUUUAUGGGCGCUUAUUGCAAAUAUUUUCUCAAGGACAUUAGCGACCCAAAGGAGCAGCUGGAGAGUCAAUCAUUCGGCGAUGUGGCUAAUCGCAUACAUUUCCUGCAUUCCUUUGCCUUAAUGGCAAUGCCGCUGGCUCAUUACCCCAUAUUUACCGGCGUACUUAUGGCCACGGGCACGGUCCUCUUCAGCGGCUGCAUGUAUUAUCGCGCCUUGACGGGUGAUAAGAAAUUGCAGCAUUAUGCCACCAUUGGUGGCUUCUUCCUGAUUGCCGCCUGGAUGUCCUUGGUCUUUUAGUUCGAAUUACAGGUCUACACUUCUCAGCUGCAUGAGAGUAAUAUUUAUGCAAAGCAGCUGUUGGCGAACAUCACACACGCGCUAAUGGAAAAUAUCUGAUUUGCUUUUAAAAGUGAACUUUGUCGCUAAUGGAAGAUACUUGUGUUUCAUUUGUUUACAUUUAAAUGCAUAAAUUUUCUUUGUAAAAGAAAUGCAAGUCUAAUUGUACAUUAAUUCGAAAUAGAAAUCGAAAUCGUUGGAAAUGAAAUUAAACA